GUGCUUGCUUUGGCAGCAUACAUACUAAAAUCAGAUCGAUACAGAGAAGAUCAGCAUGGCCUCCGCACAAGGAUGACACGCAAAUUGGUGAAGCGUUCCACAUAAAA